rnacentral:rRNA from 1 species
UAAAUAACAAUACAGGGCCCUUAGGGUCUUGUAAUUGGAAUGAGUACAAUUUAAAUCUCUUAACGAGGAACAACUAGAGGGCAAGUCUGGUGCCAGCAGCCGCGGUAAUUCCAGCUCUAGUAGCGUAUAUUAAAGUUGUUGCAGUUAAAAAGCUCGUAGUUGAACUUGAAGUGUGCAUGUGUGGUGCACCUAACCGUGCUACUAUGCAUGUAUGCUUGAUGGGUGGACUAGCUACAUGACAGUGAUGUUGUGUUGGUGAUGUCCAGCGUUUACUGUGAAAAAAUUAGAGUGUUUAAAGCAGGCUGGAUGGGCUUGAAUACAUUAGCAUGGAAUAACUGAAUAGGCUCUGAGGGCUAUUUUGUUGGUUUUGGGUGGCUCAGAGAAUGAUUAACAGGAACAGUUGGGGGCAUUAGUAUUUACUAGUCAGAGGUGAAAUUCUUGGAUUUAGUAAAGACUAACUUCUGCGAAAGCAUUUGCCAAGGAUGUUUUCAUUAAUCAAGAACGAAAGUUAGGGGAUCGAAGACGAUUAGAUACCGUCGUAGUCUUAACCAUAAACUAUGUCGACUCAGAAUUGCUGCUCGGUUGUUUGAUGCCGGCAGCAGCGCUGUGUGGGAAACCAAAGUGUUUGGAUUCUGGGGGAGUACAAUCGCAAGGUUGAAACUUAAAGGAAUUGACGGAAGGGCACCACCAGGAGUGGAUUAUGCGGCUUAAUUUGACUCAACACGGGGAAACUUACCAGGUCAGAACAUAGUGAGGAUUGACAGAUUGAGAGCUCUUUCUUGAUUCUAUGGGUGGUGGUGCAUGGCCGUUCUUAGUUGGUGGAGUGAUUUGUCUGGUUAAUUCCGAUAACGAACGAGACCUUAACCUGCUAACUAGAGCAUGGAAGUCUUGUACUUCCAUUGAUGGGGCUCUUCUUAGAGGGACUGUCGAUGUCUAAUCGACGGAGGUUUGAGGCAAUAACAGGUCUGUGAUGCCCUUAGAUGUUCUGGGCCGCACGCGUGAUACACUGACGCAGUCAGCGAGUUUAUUACCUUGGCCGAGAGGUCUGGGUAAUCUUGUGAAACUGUGUCGUGUUGGGGAUAGACCCUUGUAAUUAUUGGUCUUGAACGAGGAAUUCCUAGUAAGCGCGAGUCAUCAGCUCGCGUUGAUUACGUCCCUGCCCUUUGUACACACCGCCCGUCGCUAGUACCGAUUGAAUGGCUUAGUGAGGC